rnacentral:rRNA from 1 species
AGCGAACGCUGGCGGCAGGCUUAACACAUGCAAGUCGAACGGGCACUUCGGUGCUAGUGGCAGACGGGUGAGUAACACGUGGGAACGUACCUUUCGGUUCGGAAUAAUCCAGGGAAACUUGGACUAAUACCGGAUACGCCCCUCGGGGGAAAGAUUCAUCGCCGAUAGAUCGGCCCGCGUCUGAUUAGCUAGUUGGUGAGGUAAUGGCUCACCAAGGCGACGAUCAGUAGCUGGUCUGAGAGGAUGAUCAGCCACAUUGGGACUGAGACACGGCCCAAACUCCUACGGGAGGCAGCAGUGGGGAAUAUUGGACAAUGGGCGCAAGCCUGAUCCAGCCAUGCCGCGUGAGUGAUGAAGGCCUUAGGGUUGUAAAGCUCUUUUGUCCGGGAAGAUAAUGACUGUACCGGAAGAAUAAGCCCCGGCUAACUUCGUG